ACGGCUCAGUAACACGUGGACAACCUACCCUUGGGUCUGGCAUAAUCCUGGGAAACUGGGUAUAAUUCCAGAUAGGUCACAGAUGCUGGAAUGCACUGUGGCCGAAAGCUCCGGCGCCCAAGGAUGGGUCUGCGGCCUAUCAGGGUUGUAGUGGGUGUAACGGACCUACUAGCCUACGACGGGUACGGGUUGUGAGAGCAAGAGCCCGGAGAUGGAUUCUGAGACACGAAUCCAGGCCCUACGGGGUGCAGCAGGCGCGAAAACUUUACAAUGCGGGAAACCGUGAUAAGGGAAUCUCGAGUGCCAGCAUAUAAUGUUGGCUGUCCAGAUGCCUAAAAAGCAUCUGUUAGCAAGGGCCGGGCAAGACCGGUGCCAGCCGCCGCGGUAACACCGGCGGCCCGAGUGGUAACCGCUUUUAUUGGGUCUAAAGGGUCUGUAGCCGGCCAAGUAAGUCCCUUGGGAAAUCUGGCAGCUUAACUGUCAGGCUGCUAGGGGAUACUGCUAGGCUUGGGACCGGGAGAGGUGAGAGGUACUCCAGGGGUAGGAGUGAAAUCCUGUAAUCCUUGGGGGACCACCUGUGGCGAAGGCGUCUCACUAGAACGGCUCCGACAGUGAGGGACGAAAGCUGGGGGAGCAAACCGGAUUAGAUACCCGGGUAGUCCCAGCUGUAAACGAUGCGCGUUAGGUGUAUCGGUGACCACGAGUCACCGAGGUGCUGAAGGGAAACCGUGAAACGUGCCGCCUGGGAAGUACAGUCGCAAGGCUGAAACUUAAAGGAAUUGGCGGGGGAGCAC
rnacentral:rRNA from 1 species